GAUGAACGCUGGCGGCGUGCCUAAUACAUGCAAGUCGAGCGAACAGACGAGGAGCUUGCUCCUCUGACGUUAGCGGCGGACGGGUGAGUAACACGUGGAUAACCUACCUAUAAGACUGGGAUAACUUCGGGAAACCGGAGCUAAUACCGGAUAAUAUAUUGAACCGCAUGGUUCAAUAGUGAAAGACGGUUUUGCUGUCACUUAUAGAUGGAUCCGCGCCGCAUUAGCUAGUUGGUAAGGUAACGGCUUACCAAGGCAACGAUGCGUAGCCGACCUGAGAGGGUGGUCGGCCACCCGGGAACUGAGACACGGCCCAGACUCCUACGGGAGGCAGCAGUAGGGAAUCUUACGCAAUGGGCGAAAGCCUGACGGAGCAACGCCGCGUGAGUGAUGAAGGUCUUCGGAUCGUAAAACUCUGUUAUUAGGGAAGAACAAAUGUGUAAGUAACUAUGCACGUCUUGACGGUACCUAAUCAGAAAGCCACGGCUAACUACGUG
rnacentral:rRNA from 1 species